CCUGUCAUGAGCAUUGACCUCUUAUGCUGUGUGGCUCUUUGCCUUCUGUGGGCAGGCUUGAAUGCUAGUGUCACCCAGAUCCCCAAAUUCCAGAUCCUGGUGACAGGACAGAACGUGACACUGGAAUGUGCCCAGGAUAUGAACUAUGACUCCAUGUACUGGUAUCGACAGGAUCUUGGGCUGGGACUGAGGCUGAUCCAUUACUCUGCUGUUGCUGGUGCCACUGACAAAGGCGAAGUCCCUGAUGACUACAGUGUGUCUAGAUUGAGUAAAGGGUCCUUCUCCCUCACUCUGGACUCUGCCACCCCCUCCCAGACAUCUGUGUACUUCUGUGCGGGCAGUUAUCCACAGCACUGCACAGCUGCCUCCUCUCUGCGCAGAAAGGCAGGGCAGGCUCUGCACCCCAGAGCUCAUUGGUGCCCUUGGCAGAGCUCUCAGCACCAAGACCCAGAGCCCUGA